rnacentral:rRNA from 1 species
GACGAACGCUGGCGGCGUGCUUAACACAUGCAAGUCGAACGCGAAAACCCUUCGGGGUGAGUAGAGUGGCGAACGGGUGAGUAACACGUGGGCAACCUGCCCCAAGGAGCGGGACAACCCGGGGAAACUCGGGCUAAUACCGCAUGAUUCGCCGGCACUCAAGUGCCGGCGGCAAAUGGUAGCUUCGGCCUCCGCCGUGGGAUGGGCCCGCGGCGCAUGAGCUUGUUGGUGAGGUAACGGCUCACCAAGGCGACGAUGCGUAGCUGGUCUGAGAGGACGAUCAGCCACACUGGGACGGGGACACGGCCCCGACUCCUAGGGGAGGCAGCAGUGGGGAAUCUUGCGCAAUGGGCGGAAGCCGGACGCAGCAACGCCGCGUGUGGGAAGACGGCCCUCGGGUUGUAAACCACUUUCAGGGGGGACGAAGCUUCCAGGGUUAAUAGCCCAUGGGGUGACGGUACCCCCAGAAGAAGCCCCGGCUAACUACGUGCCAGCAGCCGCUGUAACAC